GCUCAGGAUGAACGCUAGCUACAGGCUUAACACAUGCAAGUCGAGGGGCAGCAUGGUCUUAGCUUGCUAAGGCUGAUGGCGACCGGCGCACGGGUGAGUAACACGUAUCCAACCUGCCGUCUACUCUUGGCCAGCCUUCUGAAAGGAAGAUUAAUCCAGGAUGGGAUCAUGAGUUCACAUGUCCGCAUGAUUAAAGGUAUUUUCCGGUAGACGAUGGGGAUGCGUUCCAUUAGAUAGUAGGCGGGGUAACGGCCCACCUAGUCAACGAUGGAUAGGGGUUCUGAGAGGAAGGUCCCCCACAUUGGAACUGAGACACGGUCCAAACUCCUACGGGAGGCAGCAGUGAGGAAUAUUGGUCAAUGGACGAGAGUCUGAACCA
rnacentral:rRNA from 1 species